AAUAUACGGUGUCUCAGCCCCAGAGGUGUGUGGUCUUCUCCAGUGUCUCAGCCCCAGAGGUGUGUGGUCUUCCCCAGUGUCUCAGACCCAGAGGUGUGUUGUCUUCUCCAGUGUCUCAGCCCCAGAGGUGUGUGGUCUUCUCCAGUGUCUCAGCCCCAGAGGUGUGUGGUCUUCUCCAGUGUCUCAGCCCCAGAGGUGUGUGGUCUUCUCCAGUGUCUCAGCCCCAGAGGUGUGGUGUCUUCUCCAGUGUCUCAGCCCCAGAGGUGUGUGGUCUUCUCCAGUGUCUCAGCCCCAGAGGUGUGUGGUCUUCUCCAGUGUCUCAGCCCCAGAGGUGUGUGGUCUUCUCCAGUGUGUGUUGAAAGCUUGUAAAUAGUAACUGCUGAAACGUGGAAUAGUGUCCCGUAUCACUUGUGACCUUAGAUGGGAAUAUUCCAAAAUAAUAAAUAAAAAUAAAUAAAUAAAAAAUAUGACUAAACAAAAAUAUGUGUCUGUGUCAAAGUGAGACGGACGUUACAGGACGAAGAAGAGAGUGAAGAGGAAGACGAGUUUGAAGAUGGUGGUGUAGGAGAGUGAAGAGAACAGGACGAGGAUGAGGAUGAGCAGGAUGAUGGGCUGAAACAUCUAGGUGGGAUUAAUAAGGACGGCAAAGGAGGACGAGUCAGGACGAGGACGAGUCAGGAGGCGA